UUUCUUAUCACAAUUUUCAUCAUUCCAAAUGCGAAUUCGGUGAAAUUCAGAUCAUUUCGAAUAAUUAGCUUUGUUUAAAUGAUUAAUUGAUUGUUGAAACAAGACUUGAACGGCAUUAAAUGCGAAAUCCAUUAACAAGAGCAUAUUCGCUUUGUACGUGUAUCAAUUGAAUACCAGCUACGAAAAAUGGAUCCAGCGCCGAACCACGAACGAACGAUUUCGACUCAGAAAAUCCGGUGUACGUGUAAAGUUGAAAAAGUAAACGGAGAGUUUUGUCGGCUAUGCUACGUAAAAAAUCUACCGAACCAGGAGGAAUACCCCAAAUGGAUUUGCUUAGACUACCUCGAGUGGUGGGACGAUGUAACAAGAAAUCAACCGUGAAUGUUCGAUCCAGCUUUUGACGAUCUAGCGAAUAGCUAAAUUUGCGAGAUCAUGAAGCUAUUAUCGAGUCAACGGAAAUAAUUUAGUUAGAAUUAGUUCCAUAAUGCAUUAUAAUUAUGUAUAAUAUACUUCGUCAAAAGUAAAA